rnacentral:snRNA from 1 species
UUAGUAUAAGGAGUACCUAUACUUAAAUGGGAAGGAUACAGAGAUCAGCAAGGCCCCUGAGCAAAGAUACCAUACAAAUUCUUGAAGCAUUCCAUACUUUU